rfam:Elusimicrobia bacterium RIFOXYA2_FTLL_53_38 rifoxya2_full_scaffold_323, whole genome shotgun sequence.
UUACCUUGUAAUUUGGCGGAUUGGCGCCAGAGUAUCCACGAUCGGACCGUAAUCCGGUGCAUCCAGGGAAA